UACGGAGGGGGCGAGCGUUAUUCGGAAUUAUUGGGCGUAAAGGGCGCGUAGGCGGCCUGGUCAGUCGAAGGUGAAAUCCCCGAGCUCAACUUGGGAACUGCCCUUCGAUACUGCCGGGCUUGAGUCCGGGAGGGGAGAGUGGAAUUCCCAGUGUAGCGGUGAAAUGCGUAGAUAUUGGGAGGAACACCGGUGGCGAAGGCGGCUCUCUGGACCGGUUCUGACGCUGAGGCGCGAAAGCGUGGGUAGCAAACAGG
rnacentral:rRNA from 1 species